GAUGAACGCUGGCGGCGUGCUUAAUACAUGCAAGUCGAGCGAACAGACGCGUUUCUUGCUCCUCUAAUGUCGCCGGCGGGAGGAACACUUACACAAGCUUACCUUACCUUUAAGAUUGGGUCACCUUCGGGAAGCUGAUGCUAUUUCGGGAUACUUUAUUCAUCGUCAUGGUUCAAUAGUUUCAGCCGGUUUUGCUGUCCCUUCUACUUAUCUCCGCGCUGCUUUAGCUAUUUGGUAAGGUAACGGUUUACCAUGGCAGCGAUGCGUAGCCGACCUGCGAGGGGGAGCGGCCACACGGGAACUGAGACACGGUCCAGGCGCCUACGGGAGGCAGCAGUAGGGAAUCGGGCGCAAUGGGCGAAAGCCUGACGGAGCAACGCCGCGUGAGUGAUGAAGGUCGUCGGAUCGGAAAACUCGGUUAUGAGGGAAGAACAAAUUUGUAAGGAGCUAUGCACGGCGUGACGGUACCUAAUCAGAAAGCCACGGGUAACUACGUG
rnacentral:rRNA from 1 species